AUUGAACGCUGGCGGCAGGCCUAACACAUGCAAGUCGAACGAGUGGCGGACGGGGGAGUAAUGUCUGGGAAACUGCCCGAUGGAGGGGGAUAACUACUGGAAACGGUAGCUAAUACCGCAUACCAUCGGAUGUGCCCAGAUGGGCUUAGCUUGUAGGUGAGGUAACGGCUCACCUAGGCGACGAUCCCUAGCUGGUCUGAGAGGAUGACGAGCGACCCGGGAACGGAGACACGGUCCAGACUCCUACGGUGGACAGCGGUGGUGAAUAUUGCACAAGGGGCCCAAGCCUGAAGCAGCCAGGCCGCGUGUAUGAAGAAGGUCUUCGGGUUGUAAAGUACUUUCAGCGGGGAGGCGUUACCCGAAGAAGAAGCACCGGCUAACUCCGUGCCAGCAGCCGCGGUAAUAC
rnacentral:rRNA from 1 species